UACGAAGGGGGCUAGCGUUGUUCGGAUUUACUGGGCGUAAAGCGCACGUAGGCGGAUCGUUAAGUCGGGGGUGAAAUCCUGGAGCUCAACUCCAGAACUGCCUUCGAUACUGGCGAUCUCGAGUCCGGAAGAGGUGAGUGGAACUCCUAGUGUAGAGGUGGAAUUCGUAGAUAUUAGGAAGAACACCAGUGGCGAAGGCGGCUCACUGGUCCGGUACUGACGCUGAGGUGCGAAAGCGUGGGGAGCGAACCGG
rnacentral:rRNA from 1 species